CAGCUAGUUGGUGAGGUAACGGCUCACCAAGGCGACGAUCGGUAGCCGGCCUGAGAGGGCACACGGCCACACUGGCACUGAAACACGGGCCAGACUCCUACGGGAGGCAGCAGUGGGGAAUCUUGCACAAUGGAGGCAACUCUGAUGCAGCGACGCCGCGUGAGCGAUGAAGCCCUUCGGGGUGUAAAGCUCUUUCGGCAGGAACGAUAAUGACGGUACCUGAAGAAGAAGCUGCGGCUAACUACGUGCCAGCAGCCGCGGUAAUACGUAGGCAGCGAGCGUUGUUCGGAAUUACUGGGCGUAAAGAGUGUGUAGGCGGUGCUCUAAGUUCGGUGUGAAAUCUCCCGGCUUAACUGGGAGGGUGCGCCGGAAACUGGAGUGCUCGAGCGUGGGAGAGGAAAGCGGAAUUCCUGGUGUAGCGGUGAAAUGCGUAGAUAUCAGGAGGAACACCUGCGGUGUAGACGGCUUUCUGGACCAUAGCUGACGCUGAGACACGAAAGCGUGGGUAGCAAACAGGAUUAGAUACCCUGGUAGUCCACGCCCUAAACGAUGCAUACUUGGUGUCGGCCAUUCAGUUGGUCGGUGCCGGAGCUAACGCGUUAAGUAUGCCGCCUGGGGAGUACGGUCGCAAGGCU
rnacentral:rRNA from 1 species